rnacentral:rRNA from 1 species
GGGUUGUGAGGUUAAGCGACCAAGCGUACACGGUGGAUGCCCUGGCAGUCAGAGGCGAUGAAGGACGUGCUAAUCUGCGAAAAGCGCCGGUAAGGUGAUAUGAACCGUUAUAACCGGCGAUGUCCGAAUGGGGAAACCCAGUGUGACUCGUCACACUAUCAUUAACUGAAUCCAUAGGUUAAUGAGGCGAACCGGGGGAACUGAAACAUCUAAGUACCCCGAGGAAAAGAAAUCAACCGAGAUUCCCCCAGUAGCGGCGAGCGAACGGGGAGGAGCCCAGAGCCUGAAUCAGUAUGUGUGUUAGUGGAAGCGUCUGGAAAGGCGCGCGAUACAGGGUGACAGCCCCGUACACAAAAGCGCAUGUGCUGUGAGCUCGAUGAGUAGGGCGGGACACGUGGUAUCCUGUCUGAAUAUGGGGGGACCAUCCUCCAAGGCUAAAUACUCCUGACUGACCGAUAGUGAACCAGUACCGUGAGGGAAAGGCGAAAAGAACCCCGGCGAGGGGAGUGAAAAAGAACCUGAAACCGUGUACGUACAAGCAGUGGGAGCCCCACCACUAAGCCAGUGGUGAACUCCACAUACGCAUCCUUUGCGGAAGAUACGGUUAACGGAGCGAAAGCGACGUUCAACCG